CCUUCCGACACAGGUGGUCAGGCAGAGAAUACUAAGGCGAUCGAGAGAACUGUGGUUAAGGAACUCGGCAAAAUGCCCCCGUAACUUCGGGAGAAGGGGGACCAGUCCUGGUGACGACAUUUACUGUCUGAGCUGGGGUUGGUCGCAGAGACCAGAGAGAAGCGACUGUUUACUAAAAACACAGGUCCGUGCGAAGUCGUAAGACGAUGUAUACGGACUGACGCCUGCCCGGUGCUGGAAGGUUAAGAGGACCGGUCAGCCACUUCGGUGGCGAAGCUGAGAAUUUAAGCCCCAGUAAACGGCGGUGGUAACUAUAACCAUCCUAAGGUAGCGAAAUUCCUUGUCGGGUAAGUUCCGACCUGCACGAAUGGCGUAACGACUUCUCUGCUGUCUCAACCACAGACUCGGCGAAAUUGCAGUACGAGUAAAGAUGCUCGUUACGCGCGGCAGGACGAAAAGACCCCGGGACCUUCACUAUAGCUUGGUAUUGGUGUUCGGUUCGGUUUGUGUAGGAUAGGUGGGAGACUGUGAAACUCGCACGCCAGUGUGGGUGGAGUCAUUGUUGAAAUACCACUCUGACCGUAUUGGACAUCUAACCUCGGACCAUGAUCUGGUUCAGGGACAGUGCCUGGUGGGUAGUUUAACUGGGGCGGUUGCCUCCCAAAAAGUAACGGAGGCGCCCAAAGGUUCCCUCAGCCUGGUUGGCAAUCAGGUGUUGAGUGUAAGUGCACAAGGGAGCUUGACUGUGAGACGUACAUGUCGAGCAGGGACGAAAGUCGUGACUAGUGAUCCGGCACCGGCAAGUGGAAGCGGUGUCGCUCAACGGAUAAAAGGUACCCCGGGGAUAACAGGCUGAUCUUCCCCAAGAGUCCAUAUCGACGGGAUGGUUUGGCACCUCGAUGUCGGCUCGUCGCAUCCUGGGGCUGGAGUAGGUCCCAAGGGUUGGGCUGUUCGCCCAUUAAAGCGGCACGCGAGCUGGGUUUAGAACGUCGUGAGACAGUUCGGUCUCUAUCCGCCGCGCGCGUAAGAAACUUGAGGAAACCUGUCCCUAGUACGAGAGGACCGGGACGGACGAACCUCUGGUGUGCCAGUUGUUCCACCAGGAGCACCGCUGGUUAGCUACGUUCGGAAGGGAUAACCGCUGAAAGCAUCUAAGCGGGAAGCCUGUUCCAAGAUGAGGUUUCUCACCACCUAGCGUGGUUAAGGCCCCCCACAGACCAUGGGGUUGAUAGGCCAGAACUGUAAGCACAGCAAUGUGUUCAGGUGACUGGUACUAAUCGGCCGAGGACUUAC
rnacentral:rRNA from 1 species